UAGCUCAGUUGGUAAAGAAUCUGCCUGCAAUGCAGGAGACCUGGGUUCGAUUCCCUG
rnacentral:tRNA from 1 species